CGCCCAGUUCAUCGGUUGCACCUGCGACGCGCGCGGAGAGCUGUUGGCUCCUUACGCGUCAAUAUAUAUGUACAUGUAUCCUGUAACGCUGCCGACUCCGCGAUCCGGUGAAACUAGCUUAACAGCCUCUCCACUGGACACUGUUCUUCGCCUCCCAUCUCCGUCCCGUGCGCUCCACUGUCCUGUUACCGCCUUGUCGCCCCCACCGCCAUCGUUGCCGCUGCGCCUCCAUUAUUGCCGUGAUCCUCGUAAUCUCCGACCCCUAGUUUCAUUUUCAGGCUAGUUGUUGGUGCAAGAUGGAAGGUAGUCAACCUAAAUUCCACCAAGAAUCCACUGCUCAUGCUUUGGUAGAUGGUUCUGGUACCAAUGAUGGGAAUGCCUACACUUACGAUCGAAAUUCAAUCUCACAAGAUGCUACAACUAGUGUGGUUUAUGAAGCCAAAGCUGAUGCUGCUACUGCUGGGCAUAGUGAAGGUGUUGUUACUGAUGAAAACAUGGCUAGUAUCUCGCAGAACAUGGCUGGUUAUGAUUCCAUUGACAGAAGCACCAGCGAAAUGACAAAUUAUCAAUCUACUGGGGCUGUCAUGAAUGGAAGUGUCUAAUGAGACAGUGGUGUAGAAGAUAGGUUGUGGAACAUGGUUAGAGCAAAUUUCUUAGAUUUCAAUGCUUGGACAGCACUUAUUGAAGAAACAGAAAAAGUUGCUCAGGCUUAUCCACAACCAAGUUAUGCCCAGCCAGCAGCAACUCCAGUAGCACCAGCAUUUCCUUCCCAACCAGCACCAGCUGCUCAACCAUAUUAUGGAAGCUACUAUUAAUGUAGCUGAUCAUUUGGGACAACUGAUGCUUAGCAAGCUGGGUUACGACCUGUUUGUUUCCUUGGCUGUUAUCAUUUCAGAUUAUGAUAUUCAUGUUUCUUCUUUCAAGAUACACCAAUGCUUAUAAAUGAUGAAGGGCUGAUCAGGUUCUAAUGUUAUGCAAUGAUGAUAUUGGUGACAGGUGGGCUGUGCUAGAUCUCAGAGUGUUUCCGACUCUUUUCCUGCCUUGUUCCCACACAUUCGGUUCUACAAUCAGCCUGCUUGUGGAUUAUUUUUUUUUCCAACCUGGAGAUCCAAAUGAGGGCAUUGAUAUAGACAAGGUAAUAGUCAUUUUCACUUGGGGAAAAUCUAAAUAUGUGGUCUGGAAUCUACUGUUAUCCGAAGAGAAGAUUUUGAUCAUUCCAGCUAGUAUAAAGCCUCUUUGGUCAAGAUGCCACAUCUGAUGAUAUUCUAGCAAAAAGAGUGUUUCUUCAGAUUCUAAAUUUCUUUAAUGAACCAAUGUUUGUAGAA